UACGGGGGGGGCAAGCGUUGUUCGGAAUUACUGGGCGUAAAGGGCGCGUAGGCGGCUCGCUAAGUCAGGUGUGAAAACUCUGGGCUCAACCCAGAGCCUGCACUUGAAACUGACGGGCUAGAGUUCUGGAGGGGAAAGCGGAAUUCCUGGUGUAGCGGUGAAAUGCGUAGAUAUCAGGAGGAACACCGGUGGCGAAGGCGGCUUUCUGGACCUGGUCUGACGCUGAGGCGCGAAAGCGUGGGUAGCAAACAGG
rnacentral:rRNA from 1 species